GAAAAGACACCCAUGAUUUUUUAUUCAAUGCCUUGAAACGCUGCCUCAGUAAUUCCGUUGCCAAAGAGUAUAGUAUGGAUGGCAAAAAAAAAAGAAACCGCUGAGACCGACAUAUUUUUUGAGAACCAUCCUCAAAGCUGCAAAGAUGCAUAGGGCUGAAUCUGAUGAAGAUCUCGCCAUAAAAAUUAUAAGCUCCUGGCUCGCUGGAGCCAAAUUGAGAUUCGACAGAGAAACCGCCAAACUGGGAGUGAUUGAACCAGAACAAGAAC